AACGUAGGAGACAAACGUUAUCCGGAGUUACUGGGCGUAAAGGGCGUGUAGGCGGUCGACUAAGUCUGGCGUGAAAGCUCGCGGCUAAACCGCGAGAGGUCGUUGGAUACUGGUUGACUAGAGGACGGUAGAGGCGUGUGGAAUUCCGGGUGUAGUGGUGAAAUGCGUAGAGAUCCGGAGGAACACCAGUGGCGAAGGCGACACGCUGGGCCGUACCUGACGCUAAACGCGACAGCAUGGGGAGCGAACGGG
rnacentral:rRNA from 1 species